CUAAAAGGAAUUCACGGGGGCCCGCACAAACGGUGGAGCAUGUGGUUUAAUUCGAAGCAACGCGAAGAACCUUUCAGGCCUUGACAUCCAAUGAACUUUCCAGAGAUGGAUUGGUGCCUUCGGGAACAUUGAGACAGGUGCUGCAUGGCUGUCGUCAGCUCGUGUCGUGAGAUGUUGGGUUAAGUCCCGUAACGAGCGCAACCCUUGUCCUUAGUUACCAGCACGUUAUGGUGGGCACUCUAAGGAAGACUGCCGGUGACAAACCGGAGGAAGGUGGGGAUGACGUCAAGUCAUCAUGGCCCUUGCGGCCUGGGCUACACACGGGCUACAAUGGUCGGUACAGAGGGUUGCCAAGCCGCGAGGUGGAGCUAAUCCCAGAAAACCGAUCGUAGUCCGGAUCGCAGUCUGCAACUCGACUGCGUGAAGUCGGAAUCGCUAGUAAUCGCGAAUCAGAAUGUCGCGGUGAAUACGUUCCCGGGCCUUGUACACNCCGCCCGUCACACCAUGGGAGUGGGUUGCNCCAGAAGUAGCUAGUCUAACCUUCGGGAGGACGGUUACCACGGUGUGAUUCAUGACUGGGGUGAAGUGGGAACAAGAAA
rnacentral:rRNA from 1 species